rnacentral:rRNA from 1 species
UACGAAGGGGGCUAGCGUUGCUCGGAAUCACUGGGCGUAAAGGGUGCGUAGGCGGGUCUUUAAGUCAGGGGCGAAAUCCUGGAGCUCAACUCCAGAACUGCCUUUGAUACUGAAGAUCUUGAGUUCGGGAGAGGUGAGUGGAACUGCGGGUGUAGAGGUGAAAUUCGUAGAUAUUCGCAAGAACACCAGUGGCGAAGGCGGCUCACUGGCCCGAUACUGACGCUGAGGCACGAAAGCGUGGGGAGCAAACAGG